UCAUAUAUGAAAUUCGUAUUC
rnacentral:piRNA from 1 species